rnacentral:rRNA from 1 species
GUCUAUGGCCAUGCCACCCUGAACGUGCUUGACCUCAUCAAUCUCAUAAGCUAAGUAGGGUCGGGUCUGGCUAGUACUUGGAUGAGAGACCACCUAGGAAGAUCAGGUGCUGUAGGUG